AUUGAACGCUGGCGGCAGGCCUAACACAUGCAAGUCGAGCGGUAACAGAGAUUAGCUUGCUAAUCUGCUGACGAGCGGCGGACGGGUGAGUAAUGCAUAGGAAGUUGCCCAGUAGAGGGGGAUACCAGUUGGAAACGACUGUUAAUACCGCAUGAUCUCUUUGGAGCAAAGCAGGGGACCUUCGGGCCUUGCGCUACUGGAUACGCCUAUGUGGGAUUAGCUAGUUGGUGAGGUAAUGGCUCACCAAGGCGACGAUCCCUAGCUGGUCUGAGAGGAUGAUCAGCCACACUGGGACUGAGACACGGCCCAGACUCCUACGGGAGGCAGCAGUGGGGCAUAUUGCACAAUGGGCGAAAGCCUGAUGCAGCCAUGCCGCGUGUAUGAAGAAGGCCUUCGGGUUGUAAAGUACUUUCAGUUGUGAGGAAGGUUGUGUAGUUAAUAGCUGCAUAAUUUGACGUUAGCAACAGAAGAAGCACCGGCUAACUCCGUG
rnacentral:rRNA from 1 species